UGUGAUUAGCUCAGUUGGGUAGAGCAGUGAACUUAAAAUUCACAGGUCGCAGGUUCAAUUCCUGUGUCACAACCA
rnacentral:tRNA from 1 species